rnacentral:lncRNA from 1 species
UGAUCUGCCUAUCUCGGCCUCCCAAAGUGCUGGGAUUACAGGUGUGAGCCACUGCGCCUGGCCUGCUGCAUGUUUUUAUCAUAGUGAGUUCAGGAAUUCUCAGGUGUUGCUGCAUCUUUUGAGAUGACUAUGUGGUUUUGUUUUUUAUCAUAUUAAUAUAGUGCAUGGCAUUAAUUGUACUUGAAUGUUGAACCAAAUGUUGCUUUCCUGAGGUAAAUACCCUUGACAUAUUUUAUAAUACUUUUUACAUGUUGCUGAUUUGUUUUACUAGGAUUUCCUUGAUGAUUUUUGGCUCUAUAUUCGUAAGGUGUGUUCUUAAUUUUCAUUAUUUGAAAUCUGUUUGUCUAGUUGCGGUAUCAGGGUAAACCAACUCACAGUAUAAAUGAAAUGCGAUGCCUUCUCCACUUUGUUGUUGUUGUUUUUAACAACUUAUUAUAAAUUAAUAUUAAUUGUUAAGUGAUUCCAAUAACUGACUAAUGAAUUAUCUUGACUGGGGCAAGGAAGCAAAUCCUAGGAACAAUCACGUGAGCUUGGAAGGAGACCUUUCCCCAGCUGAGCCUCAGCCUGGGCCAUCACCUGCAUCUGGACUGAAGACCCAAAGAAACUACUCCAUCAGGAAUUGUUUGAGACCAUGCAUUAUGUGGACACUCAUAUCGUGGAAUUAUAUUGCCAAUUGGCAUUCCUAAAGCUUCUACGCUAGCAGAACCUGCAGUCCAGUUAUCACAAAAAAAUGGAAAACAUGAAAGCUAGAAUUUUUGUAGGGAUUGUAUUGAAUCUGCAUAUACAUUUGGAAAGUAUAAGCAUCUUGGUUUGGAGUAAUUCACCAGUGAAGUCUUCUCAACCUGGGCAAUCAUGUGAGCUUGGAAGAUGAUGCAUCCCCAUCUCAUCUUUCAGGUGAAACCUCAGCCUUGGCCAUCACCUACAUCUGGAUUUCUGACCCAGAGAAACUGUAAGUAAUGUGUGCAUGCUUUUGAGCCACUAAGCUACAUGGUAAUUGGCUAUGCUGCAAUAAACAAUAAUACACUUGAUGGUAAAUGUAAUAUGUUAUCCUGAAUUGGAUCAAAAAACAGAAAAAUGGCAUUGGGGAAAACCAGGUAAAAUAUGAAGACAGUCAGUACUUUAGUUAAUAGUCCUAUAUACCUUUAUCAAUUUUUUGAGUUUUCACAGAUAUUCUUGUUUAUGUAUGAUGUUAAUAUUACGGAAAGUUGAAGGGUAUAUGAAACUUUAUGUAAGAUCUCAGCAAUUUUCUGUAAAUUUAAAAUUUUAAAAUAAAUAGAAGUGUAGACAUUGCUCAUAUAUUUGAGAUCAGGACUUGCUGUUAACUUAAUUGAGCCUUUGUGGAACCUAAAACACAUGGUACAAAUGCAGUAACGUUAUAAAAUAUAAAUGAUAUGAUUUUCUAUUUUAUUCACUCGGGUUUUUUUUUGAGAC